rnacentral:rRNA from 1 species
AGCUCGCGGGAGCGCAACUGACGCUGAAGCUCGAAAGUGCGGGUAUCGAACAGGAUUAGAUACCCUGGUAGUCCGCACGGUAAACGAUGGAUGCCCGCUUUUCGGUCAUUAGACCGUGAGGCCAAGUGAAAACAUUAAGCAUCCCACCUGGGGAGUACGCCGGCAACGGUGAAACUCAAAGGAAUUGACGGGGGCCCGCACAAGCGGAGGAACAUGUGGUUUAAUUCGAUGAUACGCGAGGAACCUUACCCGGGCUUGAAUUGCAGAUGAAGGAUCCAGAGAUGGUGACGCCCUUCGGGGCAUCUGUGAAGGUGCUGCAUGGUUGUCGUCAGCUCGUGCCGUGAGGUGUCGGCUCAAGUGCCAUAACGAGCGCAACCCCUCUCUUCAGUUGCCAUCAGGCAAAGCUGGGCACUCUGGAGACACUGCCACCGCAAGGUGUGAGGAAGGUGGGGAUGACGUCAAAUCAGCACGGCCCUUACGUCCGGGGCUACACACGUGUUACAAUGGGGGGUACAGAAAGCCGGCUGCCCGCAAGGUCAGUCCAAUCAAGAAAGCCCUCCUCAGUUCGGACUGGGGUCUGCAACCCGACCCCACGAAGCUG